UAGGAGAUAGAAUAAUGGAGUUCUUAAGAUUUUGAGUCUUUGUGUGCAGGUUCGAGUCCUGUUCUUCUAA
rnacentral:tRNA from 1 species